rnacentral:rRNA from 1 species
GAUUAACGCUGGCGGCGUGCAUAACACAUGCAAGUCGAACGAUGAAACUUAAAUGAUUUCUUCGGAAUGAACUUAAGUGGAUUAGUGGCGGACGGGUGAGUAACGCGUGAGUAACCUGCCUUACACAAGGGGAUAGCCGUUGGAAACGACUAAUAAUACCCUAUGAAACUAUCACUUCGCAUGAAGCGGUAGUCAAAGUGUUAGCGGUGUAAGAUGGACUUGCGUCUGAUUAGCUAGUUGGUGAGAAAAAAGCCCACCAAGGCAACGAUCAGUAGCCGGCUGGGGGGAGGGUCCGGCCCAUUUGGGACUGGGACACGGCCCAGACUCCUACGGAAGGCAGCAGUGGGGAAUUUUGCACAAUGGGGGAAACCCUGAGGCAGGGAGGCGGCGUGAUUUAGAAGUCCUUCGGGAUGUAAAAAUCUUUUGUAUAGGAAGAAAAUGACAGUACUAUACGAAUAAGGUCCGGCUAACUACGUG